AAGGGAUAUGAUGAAAAAUGUAUAAUUAUGCACUGAAAAUGAUAAAUGACUAAUAAUGGCAAAUUAUACGCGAAUCAUUAUUAGUCACGUGUGACACAGGCUGAACUUUGUUUUAACAUACCAGGUACCUUAUCUUUAAAUUUUCUUUAAACAGAGUCACAACUUGACGCAUUCUCCAGUUACAUGAGUUAAGUGUCAUUCUGGGUAACAAGGAUUUGAGUGACGUCAGUAUGCGUGCCUUUAUAAGUCUCCUGUGCGUGGCUCUUGUUUUCCUAACCAUUGCAGAGGUGUUACCUGUCCCCAUGCCAAGGAGCUACGUAGGCUUUGGUUAUUGUUUGCAGAAACAAAUGGGUGGGUCGGACGUUUGUAAGGAGUUCGCUGUGGAGUGUCAUGAUUACUGUCAAUCGCUCAAAGUGGAAUGACUUUGAUAUAAGAUAUAUUAAAGUUUGAAAUGCA